rnacentral:rRNA from 1 species
AGGGUUGUAGCUGGCGUUUUGGGGGAUGUGGGGGCUGAACCUUUAAUCCAGACACACCUGUGAACCUAAUGUAAGGGCCCGGUAAAAAGGGGCCCCUACCUCUUAUCAUCACCCCCCCCCAUGUGUAAUAAAAUUUAAAUUGAUCUCCUCACCUUAGAAAAGCUUUAAUAAGUAACUUAUGCGACUUUCAACAAUCUAUCUCUUCUCUCUCCCAUCAAUAAAAAACCCAACGAAAUGGGAUAAGGAAUGUGAAUUGCAGAUUUUCAGUGAAUCAUCCAAUCUUUGAAGCGUGCUUGCCCUCCUUGUCAUUCCAAGGAGCAUGCCUGAUUGACUGUCAUUAAAUUCUCAACUCCCUGAUUUAUUUCACAUAGCUUGUACUUAGAGUGUGCUAACAAAAGCCCCCUCCUCUUAAAUCCAUCAACUUAAUUCUAUCUUUUGCCUUCUGUAUGUGAGUGUGAGAAUGAUGUUGCGCUGUCGACCGACACUCAGAGGUCCGCUUAGGGUGGUCUGUGGACAGGGGUAUAUCUUAUUUUACCUCGGGUCAGGUCUGACUACCCGCUG